CCUACGGGAGGCAGCAGUGGGGAAUAUUGGGCAAUGGAGGAAACUCUGACCCAGCGACGCCGCGUGAGGGAUGAAGGCCUUCGGGUUGUAAACCUCUUUCAGUAGGGAAGAAGCGAAAGUGACGGUACCUACAGAAGAAGCACCGGCUAACUAUGUGCCAGCAGCCGCGGUAAUACAUAGGGUGCAAGCGUUGUCCGGAAUUAUUGGGCGUAAAGAGCUCGUAGGUGGUUCGAUACGUCGGAUGUGAAAAUCAGGGGCUCAACCCCUGACCUGCAUCCGAUACGGUCGAGCUAGAGUUUGGUAGGGGAGACUGGAAUUCCUGGUGUAGCGGUGGAAUGCGCAGAUAUCAGGAGGAACACCGAUGGCGAAGGCAGGUCUCUGGGCCAAUACUGACACUGAGGAGCGAAAGCGUGGGGAGCGAACAGGAUUAGAUACCCUGGUAGUCCACGCCGUAAACGGUGGGCGCUAGUUGUGCGAACCUUCCACGGUUUGUGCGACGCAGCUACGCAUAGCGCCCGCCGUCGGGAGGUACGAGCGCAGAUAAACUACAAGAAGUAGACGCGUGAGACGUGCGACGGACGACGACGAGGGAGGAGG
rnacentral:rRNA from 1 species